CAGCUACUCCCUCCGUUCGGAAUUACUUGUCGUAGAAAUGAAUGUAUUUAGAUGUAUUUUAGUUCUAGAUACAUUCAUUUUCGAGACAAGUAAUUCCGAACGGAGGGAGUAGCUG
rnacentral:pre_miRNA from 1 species